GCGUGCCGUAGGAUGCAGGAUUUAAUGGUCCAUCUUGCCUUGCGCAUGCAAAGGUGAUUUGUACCUAAACCUCAGGCACUGGUCUUGCUUUUGGUGCCAGGGGCUGUACAGACAGACCCUACAGAUGGUCAUCCUUGUGCUGGGGGAUCAACUCCUGUUCCUUGCUUCCAGGAUAUGUGUAACUGUUACAGCCUGAGACCUUUGCUGGUUCCUUUGCAAAUAUAAAUUUGGAUGCAGAAGCAGUGAUUUUCACCUGCUCCAGACUUGGGCUCACAUCUCUGCCUUCUGGUUCCUGGACUUCAGCAAACAGCCUUCCCUCCAGCUCGGGCCAAAGCCUCAACCCACCUGCUGGUAGAGGCAGGGUUAGUUUUAUGAUGUCUGCUGUCAAAAAUCCUCCCCAUGUUUGCAUCGUGUGGCCAAUGUGCUUGGUGCUGUACAAAGAUGAAGGUAGCUCUAGCUUUAGUAGUGACCCCCCCCCGGUGAAGGAAGUGUAAGGGUUUGUCUUCUGAGUCUUAGCAGAAACGGUCUGAGGGAGGACAUCUCUUUUAUUAAAUCAACGGAGAGAGCAGGACUGUGAAGUCUGCCUGUGCCUGCUGCUCUGGGAUUUUCCUGUUACCAUCUGCUAACGACGCAUUUGAUUUUGUUUCAGGGCUGUUCAGUGGGCAGAGGGGCUGUGGUGAUCUGGAGAUCAGGGCAUGGUGGGGAGUCACAGGAGUGCUGUGUGGUGGAAGCAGGAAUCUACCUAUUGCACCUCUUUUUCUGUUACGGCAAGAAGAGGAGUCCUGUCUUCGUCGUGGCUCUCAUCCAGCCCUCUCAUGCUGUCUCAGCAUGGUGCUGGGGCUCUCCAGCAGUGUCAGUCGAGGUCUGCAGGCUCAGGAGAAGAGCUGAUGGGCUGUGCUGCAGGUAAAGUCACAGUGUCACAAAGCCCUGCUCUGGCACACUCCCUGCCUGCCCACCUAGGACACACCAUGCCUCUCCCAUCACUUCACCCAUUCCAUCCUUCUCCUGUAACCGCGCAUCCCUGCUGGGUGCUCACACAUCCCAUGUAUUGGGAACGGGGACUUUUGGUACCUCAGCAGGGAGAUGUCUGGUUUCCAGCCCUUAAAAACACAAGCAGCGUAGCUCCAUGUGGACAUUGUUGUUCUCGUAGGGUGAGUGGCUCCUGCGGGAUGAGGUGCUGAGGACAGUAUUUCCUCAAUCCAGUGGAUGUCAUUGUAAAGAAAGCGACACACAUCAGUGCUAGCCAAAUGCUGGCAGCUCCUAGCCACGUGCAUGGUCAGCCUGGUAGAUCCUAGGUCAGAACUCAGAGGGAUGGUGAGGUACCCCUCGCUCACAUUUCAUGUUUUGGGCAUCCCUGUGGUCCAGGAUACACAAGAUACUUAUGGAUGCUUUAGGGAUGCAUUAUAUUUCUUUAUAUAUUUUAUAUAUUUCUAUAUGAGAAGCAGACAGAGGAUCCAUGGGGACAGAAAGAGAUGCCAGGAAUCUGUAACGCUUGAUGGCUCCAAAGUUAAUUGUCAAAGUCUGCAGGGUCAUCUCCGGCUAAGGAUAAGGUGUAUCAAAACAUGUAGAAGAUCACACUGUGCAGAAUCAUCCGAGAAGGGUCAAACAACAGACAAAUGAGGAAGACUACAGAAGACCACCAGAAGACUCCUGAAGACCACCAAAGACCUCGAAUACGCCUGUGCGAGGGACAUUUACAUAUGAUAAUGAGUUAAUGAAUAUGCAAAAUGUUUCUCAGAAAUCUAAUGAAUAUGUAUAUAGAACCUGUAUAUAAACUAUACAAUCAACCUGAUCAGACGCACACAAUAGGAAGAGAGAUCCCCUGUGUGCCCAGCACUACAAUAAAGGAUACCUGCUUAAUA